ACGCUAGCGACAGGCUUAACACAUGCAAGUCGAGGGUCAGCACAGGUAGCAAUACCGGGUGGCGACCGGCGCACGGGUGAGUAACGCGUAUGCAACUUACCUAUCAGAGGGGGAUAACCCGGCGAAAGUCGGACUAAUACCGCAUGAAGCAGGGGUCCCGCAUGGGGAUAUUUGCUAAAGAUUCAUCGCUGAUAGAUAGGCAUGCGUUCCAUUAGGCAGUUGGCGGGGUAACGGCCCACCAAACCGACGAUGGAUAGGGGUUCUGAGAGGAAGGUCCCCCACAUUGGUACUGAGACACGGACCAAACUCCUACGGGAGGCAGCAGUGAGGAAUAUUGGUCAAUGGCCGAGAGGCUGAACCAGCCAAGUCGCGUGAGGGAUGAAGGUUCUAUGGAUCGUAAACCUCUUUUAUAAGGGAAUAAAGUGCGGGACGUGUCCCGUUUUGUAUGUACCUUAUGAAUAAGGAUCGGCUAACUCCGUGCCAGCAGCCGCGGUAAUACGGAGGAUCCGAGCGUUAUCCGGAUUUAUUGGGUUUAAAGGGUGCGUAGGCGGCCUUUUAAGUCAGCGGUGAAAGUCUGUGGCUCAACCAUAGAAUUGCCGUUGAAACUGGGGGGCUUGAGUAUGUUUGAGGCAGGCGGAAUGCGUGGUGUAGCGGUGAAAUGCAUAGAUAUCACGCAGAACCCCGAUUGCGAAGGCAGCCUGCCAAGCCAUUACUGACGCUGAUGCACGAAAGCGUGGGGAUCAAACAGGAUUAGAUACCCUGGUAGUCCACGCAGUAAACGAUGAUCACUAGCUGUUUGCGAUACACUGUAAGCGGCACAGCGAAAGCGUUAAGUGAUCCACCUGGGGAGUACGCCGGCAACGGUGAAACUCAAAGGAAUUGACGGGGGCCCGCACAAGCGGAGGAACAUGUGGUUUAAUUCGAUGAUACGCGAGGAACCUUACCCGGGUUUGAACGCAUUCGGACCGAGGUGGAAACACCUUUUCUAGCAAUAGCCGUUUGCGAGGUGCUGCAUGGUUGUCGUCAGCUCGUGCCGUGAGGCGUCGGCUUAAGUGCCAUAACGAGCGCAACCCUUGCCACUAGUUACUAACAGGUAAAGCUGAGGACUCUGGUGGGACUGCCAGCGUAAGCUGCGAGGAAGGCGGGGAUGACGUCAAAUCAGCACGGCCCUUACAUCCGGGGCGACACACGUGUUACAAUGGCGUGGACAAAGGGAAGCCACCUGGCGACAGGGAGCGAAUCCCCAAACCACGUCUCAGUUCGGAUCGGAGUCUGCAACCCGACUCCGUGAAGCUGGAUUCGCUAGUAAUCGCGCAUCAGCCAUGGCGCGGUGAAUACGUUCCCGGGCCUUGUACACACCGCCCGUCAAGCCAUGGGAGCCGGGGGUACCAGAAGUCCGUAACCGCGAGGAUCGGCCUAGGGUAAAACUGGUAAA
rnacentral:rRNA from 1 species